rnacentral:rRNA from 1 species
UAGGGAAUCUUCGGCAAUGGGGGGAACCCUGACCGAGCAACGCCGCGUGAGUGAAGAAGGUUUUCGGAUCGUAAAGCUCUGUUGUUAAGGAAGAACGAGUGUGAGAAUGGAAAGUUCAUACUGUGACGGUACUUAACCAGAAAGGGACGGCUAACUACGUGCCAGCAGCCGCGGUAAUACGUAGGUCCCGAGCGUUGUCCGGAUUUAUUGGGCGUAAAGCGAGCGCAGGCGGUUAGAUAAGUCUGAAGUUAAAGGCAGUGGCUCAACCAUUGUAGGCUUUGGAAACUGUUUAACUUGAGUGCAGAAGGGGAGAGUGGAAUUCCAUGUGUAGCGGUGAAAUGCGUAGAUAUAUGGAGGACCACCGGUGGCGAAAGCGGCUCUCUGGUCUGUAACUGACGCUGAGGCUCGAAAGCGUGGGGAGCGAACAGG